rnacentral:lncRNA from 1 species
CCUCGAUCCUUAUUAGGCGAUUCUCCUCUUGGAGCACGGAGAUGUUGUCCUGAAGUUUCUUGCUAGAGCUCUCCACAGCUUUUGAUAUGAUGGAGGGGAGGUCCUCUGCCAUCAUUCUGAGUUUGGCUGUGAAGGGUUCCCACAUCCCUUUAACCGCAAGGGGAAGGUUGGCAACCGCUGUUGGUGGAGGCGCUGAAGGAGCCUGGUGCUG